rnacentral:rRNA from 1 species
UUAGAUACCCUAUUAUUUUAAAUGUAAAUAUAAAAAACUUGAUUAAUAUAAGUUUAUGAUCUUUAAAAUUAAAGAUUUUGGCGGUAUUUUAGUCUAUUCAGAGGAAUCUGUCCUGUAAUUGAUAACCCACGAUUUAACUUACUUUUAAAAAAAAUUUAUAUAUCGUCGUAGUUUGAAUAUUUUAAAAGAAUUUUAAUGUUCAAAAUUUUUUGUAAAAUUAAAUCAGAUCAAGGUAUAGUUUAUAUAAAAGAAGAGAUGGAUUACAUUAAAUUUAUUUAAGAAUUAAUUUUUGUAAAAUUUUAUGAAUAUGGAUUUGAUAGUAAUUUUUUAAAAAUUUUAAAAAUGAUUUUAGCUCUAAAAUAUGUACACAUCGCCCG